UGGGGAAUUUUGGACAAUGGGCGCAAGCCUGAUCCAGCAAUGCCGCGUGUGUGAAGAAGGCCUUCGGGUUGUAAAGCACUUUUGUCAGGGAAGAAAAGGCUCGCCCUAAGAGGGGGAGUUGAUGACGGUACCUGAAGAAUAAGCACCGGCUAACUACGUGCCAGCAGCCGCGGUAAUACGUAGGGUGCGAGCGUUAAUCGGAAUGACUGGGCGUAAAGCGUGCGUAGGCGGCUGGUUAAGACGGAUGUGAAAUCCCCGGGCUCAACCUGGGAACGGCAUACGUGACUGGCCAGCUAGAGUAUGGCAGAGGGGGGUGGAAUUCCACGUGUAGCAGUGAAAUGCGUAGAGAUGUGGAGGAACACCGAUGGCGAAGGCAGCCCCCUGGGCCGUGACUGACGCUGAUGCACGAAAGCGUGGGGAGCAAACAGG
rnacentral:rRNA from 1 species